CCCCGCCUAUCUGCCAGCGUCCGCACCAAUCAGGUGGCCUUGCCCCUGGAGGCCUGCCGGCACGUCCAACGCCCAUAGCACAGGCCUUUCCUUCCGGCGCCAAGCGCCUGCUGCUCCGCUGGCCGCGGGAGCCGGGCGAGCCAGUCCUUGUUGCUCCUGGGCCGGAGAGGUCUCCUGGGUUGGGAGGCGCAGGCCUGCCCCCGGAGGAGACGCGGGCGCCCCAGACGCCCGCCCUCCCGCCCGCGCUCGUCCUCCCGCCCGCGCUCGUCCUCCCGCCCGCGCUCGUCCUCCCGCCCGCGCUCGUCCUCCCGCCCGCGCUCGUCCUCCCGCCCGCGCUCGUCCUCCCGCCCGCGCUCGUCCUCCCGCCCGCGCUCGCCCUCCCGCCCGCGCUCGUCCUCCCAUCCGCCUGUUCCUCGGCGCGGGCUCCUGGCCGAGGAAACCGAAGCUCCAGUCAGCGGAGCAGCCGAGAUGGGGCGGGCGGGGUGUCGCCGGCCUGCGGGGCGUGUAGGGGAGCUGUGACGCUGGCGUGGGCGAGCGGACCGCUUCUUCCGUGAUAAGGAGUUGUCGGCUGAACCCAAGGGACAGAGCAGACUGUUUGAGAAAGAUGCUCCGAGCCGAGGGACCAGACUUGGUCUGGAAGGUCAGAUGGGGGCUUUGUCGCUACUGAGCUGAGGCCCCGUGGGAGCGGGCCCCCACCUCGAAGACCGCCUUGCUGGGAGCACUUUCGCUUUGGCGCAGAAUCAGCAGUGGCCACCGGGAUUGGAUCUUGAGAUGGUGGAGGAGAGCAGUCAGGACGCCUAAGUGUUAGCCCAGAGGACCGCAAGGAGGGCACCUGCACCAACCCGGGCGACCCGGUGGAAAGGAGCAGAGUUUGAAAAGUGCCACCCCAGGGACCCCGCCCUGGUGAUCUUGUCGAACCCUAGUGACCUCCCAGAGGCUCCACCUUCAAAUACCAUCAGUGCACAAAUUUGAGGACUAGAUUUCUAACAACUGAAGUUUGGAUGACGCAUUCGAACUAUGACAGAGGCUAAAACAACUUAAGUAGUGAUCGAGGGAAAGACACAAACAGAAGCCCUUGGAGACGGGCAGACGGGGCAAGAGCUUAAAAAAAAUCUGGAAAGGAAACUGAGGAAGCAGAAAGGCAAAGACUUGACAAAUGAGAGGAACAAGAGGAUGAGCCAGAGGAUCAGAUGCGGGAGCAGCCACGGAGUGAGAUGCAGGCUGUGAGGGAAAAGACAGAGAGGGAGCGGAGGGAGGAGACGAAGACAAA
rnacentral:lncRNA from 1 species